GAGGGUAUAGCUCAGUGGUAGAGCACAUGCUUAGCAUGCACAAGGUCCUGGGUUCAAUUCCCAGUACCUCCA
rnacentral:tRNA from 1 species